CUUCCGCCAGUGUGAUCCUUCAUACAGAUGUCCAGGCUCUCCAUGAGCAGAGGUACACCAGGCCACCACAAUCAAAAGGCAUUUUCAACUGGCGAGAGUCUUCCAGAAGAGCUGCCACCCCAUCAACUCGGACGAGAGGAUCUGUGCACAUCUACCAGGCCUUGGGUGGCGACCAAAGACCACCAUUGGGGACACAAUGAGAAUAACCAUGAAAAGUGAGCGGCGCGGCCAUCUCUAGCCAUGCUGGGAAACAGAGAAAGACCUGGCAACAGAAAUGGAAACGGCGCUGGUUUCAUUGUUUGUUUGUCGAUGGGCUGGACAGCACCCACUUCCAUGAGGCCGGGGAGAAUGCAAGCUUCUUCAGAGAGACGCUCCCUGUCCUGUAUCCUGUGCUCGGUGGACGAGGUCUGUCAUCGGCAGCCCGUGGGCUACAUACUACUACGUUCUGAAGAAAGGCUUCCAUCAACGCCCCAUGAUCAUAGUCCGGAAGUAGUGAAACGACACGCAGAAGUCUCGAGAGAAAGCUCAAAGUUGCAGGACGCAGCAAGGACAUCCAACAUCUGAGCUGGCCAUGUGGCAUCUUCUGUCCAAUUCACUCAAGACGCUAGGAUCCGUGUUUCCCAGCUUUGUCUAGAAUGGGCCGUUUUCAGACGAGCCAUCACUCCAGAACGGAUUUAAGACCCGACCCCAGAGAAGAGGCUGAUGUUGUAGAGAACACCAACUCAGUGCCAAAGUCUCCAGAUACAUUUCAUGAAUAAAUGAAAAUC